rnacentral:rRNA from 1 species
GGGUUGUAAACUUCUUUUAUACGGGAAUAAAGUGAGGCACGUGUGCCUUUUUGUAUGUACCGUAUGAAUAAGGAUCGACUAACUCCGUGCCAGCAGCCGCGGUAAUACGGAGGAUCCGAGCGUUAUCCGGAUUUAUUGGGUUUAAAGGGAGCGUAGGCGGACGCUUAAGUCAGUUGUGAAAGUUUGCGGCUCAACCGUAAAAUUGCAGUUGAUACUGGGUGUCUUGAGUACAGUAGAGGCAGGCGGAAUUCGUGGUGUAGCGGUGAAAUGCUUAGAUAUCACGAAGAACUCCGAUUGCGAAGGCAGCUUGCUGGACUGUAACUGACGCUGAUGCUCGAAAGUGUGGGUAUCAAACAGGAUUAGAUACCCUGGUAGUCCACACAGUAAA